AGUCACUGACUAUUAGACUACCGUGUAGUCCCAGCCGUAAACUAUGCGCGUUAGGUGUAUCGGUGACCACGAGUUACCGAGGUGCCGAAGGGAAACCGUGAAACGUGCCGCCUGGGAAGUACGGUCGCAAGGCUGAAACUUAAAGGAAUUGGCGGGGGAGCACCACAACAGGUGGAGCCUGCGGUUUAAUUGGACUCAACGCCGAGAAGCUCACCGGAUAGGACAGCAGAAUGAUUGCCGGGCUGAAGACCCUGCAUGACUAGCUG
rnacentral:rRNA from 1 species